rnacentral:rRNA from 1 species
CCUACGGAGGGCUGCAGUGGGGAAUAUUGGACAAUGGGCGAAAGCCUGAUCCAGCCAUGCCGCGUGUGUGAAGAAGGCCUUCGGGUUGUAAAGCACUUUCAGUGGGGAAGAAAGCCUUGGGGCUAAUACCCUCGAGGAAGGACAUCACCCACAGAAGAAGCACCGGCUAACUCCGUGCCAGCAGCCGCGGUAAUACGGAGGGUGCGAGCGUUAAUCGGAAUUACUGGGCGUAAAGCGCGCGUAGGCGGUCUGAUAAGCCGGUUGUGAAAGCCCCGGGCUCAACCUGGGAACGGCAUCCGGAACUGUCAGGCUAGAGUGCAGGAGAGGAAGGUAGAAUUCCCGGUGUAGCGGUGAAAUGCGUAGAGAUCGGGAGGAAUACCAGUGGCGAAGGCGGCCUUCUGGACUGACACUGACGCUGAGGUGCGAAAGCGUGGGUAGCAAACAGGAUUAGAUACCCCAGUAGUC